rnacentral:lncRNA from 1 species
UAUGGAUCGAGUUCAUCAUCUGCUCAUGACUCAGUUCUGAGUCAUUCCACCCGUUUAGCCAAUUCUAGAAAACGAUCACUUUUUUGAAGGAUCGACUUUAUUUGAUUUAGAUAAAGAUUAUGAAUAUGAAUCGAAAGGAUUAAAAAAGGUUGGAUUACUUCUUCUCUUCUUUAACUUCUUCCUUUUUCUCUUCUUUCUUUUCUUCUUUCUUCUCUUCUUUCUUUUCCUCUUUCUUUUCUUCUUUCUUUUCAGGUUCUUUCGCUGGUCCAACUGAAAUUAUGUCCACCUUCCCUACCUUCUUCAGCUUCUUCACCACCGCCACCGUGUCCAUCUCUCCGAUCACCGUCAGCUUCUGAUCUUUCAGAUCAGCCGCAAUCGAAU